rnacentral:tRNA from 1 species
GGGCCGGUCGUCUAGCCUGGUAGGAUGCCGCCUUGGCACGGCGGAGGUCGGGGGUUCAAAUCCCCCCCGGUCCACCA